AGAUCAGGGAGCAGGGGCGGCUCUGGACACCUGACCUGGAUGAGGACCAGUGUCUGGCCUCCUUUGAUUUCUGCUGCUGACUUAUAGGGGCCUGGACUCAGGACCUGUGAGAAGACGCUGUCAGAGGAAUGUCUUCCACUUUUUCUCAGACUCAUCCUGGAGCUGACACAGAUGCCGGUCCCUGAGGCAGGGAGGAAAGGGACCACAGUGCACUUCCUGAAGUCCAAACAAGCUUGCCGGUGGAUCUUCCCCCAUUCUUUUUCACGACUGUAUAGUAUUCCAUUGUAGGUACGAAUCACAGCAUACAGGCAUACCUCAGAGACAUUGCAGGUUCCAUUCCAGACCACCACAACAAAGCAAAUAUCACAACAGAGGGGUGUUCAGAAGGCUUCUUUCACCAAGUCCUCUCCUGCAGCCCUAUAAGCUUCUGCUGUUUAGACUUCUCAUCUUCCAACUGACCUAGAGACCAUAAUUUUCCUCUUGAUGGAUUCCACCAUUAAUGCAUUCACAGCAAGAUCUGUGUAUCUUCCUGGAUGACUUUUGGGGUCACAGCAAAAGGCCAUCUUAUUAGAGCACACAUGGCUGAACAUGCUUUUGUGGGGAUGCUCCAACGUCUCUCCCUUAAUGACGCUUCUCAAGCUCUCAACAUCCCAUACAUGUGGAAUUCUCCAGACACGUAAUUGUUUAAAGUUUGGAGAAGCAGAAUCACUACGAGUGAUACAGAUAAAGGACUUCUUAUAUCUUACAUAGGUAUAACUACAGGAUUUGCAACUGAGCUCAUGCGAUUGUUGGAGCUCGUGAAGCAGUCUGCUUCUGUGUCUGGUGUUGGGUAUGAAGUCAGCAGGGCUGGCGGUUGAGAAGGAAAGAUGGACGUGAAGUGAGAGAGAGCAAGGACAAACGGACCCACGUCUCCCACCCCCUCCAAUCUCGUGAUGGGGAUGCAGAUCCGCUGGGCCCUUCACCUUGGAGCUGCAUGUGCUCCUGGCCCAGGACUCAGAGAAGCUGGAGGGAAGAUGGGACAGGAGUUGGAAGAGCCUGGGGCCUGGCUGCUGCCCCAAGCCCACAAGGCGAAUCCACAGAUGAGCGACAAUGGACAGGAGCUACAACAGAACCUGGCCCCACACCAACCCCUCGGGUGGAACCGUGGCUGCUGCUUCCCUUCUGGCUCUGAGUCACACACUCUUCUUGUAGCAAAACUUGAACUUGAAUUCAGCUCCAGCUUACUAAGUCCAUCCAGGACGAAGCCAUAUGCUCCCCUGGUCGCAGUCUCCAGGCAGUGGUGUUCAGUUUGCAGACCCAGCAGACGGCUACUGGAAGAGGGUAAGGCUACCAGAAGAGGGUGCAGCCCCACUGUCUUCAGGAAAGAGGAAAAGGCUUCCAGGCCUGCCCGACGCUCAGGGAUGGCUGGGAACAGGAAUGUGGAACAGGCGAGGCCACAGGGUGUUUAGUUCAGGAAAUGUUAGGAUUGAAGGGUAGAAAUUAAGUGUGGGAGUGACUGCAUUUGAGAGAUCUGUGCACCAACACAUCCCAUUUAGAAAUUUCAUCAGCGCUGUCUCUGCUGCUCUCCACUGAUAUGCAUCCGGAGAUGAUCGUUGUUGAAAAGCAGUAUCAAUUUAGAGCAGAGAUCUGGAGAGCGCAGAAGAGGGGAUGUGCAGAUCACAGGGCAAACUCCUCUGAAUUUCUGAAGUUUGAUUUUAGUUCACUUUCAAAUAUCAAUAAAAAGAAAUGAAGUUUUUAUGUUUAUAAAAGAG
ensembl:lncRNA